AGGGCUUUAGCUUAAUUAAAGUAUCCGCUUUGCACGUGGAAGAUGUGGGGUAAUAUCCCGCAAGUCUUA
rnacentral:tRNA from 1 species